UACCCCCUGCAGGAGAGCCCAGAGCAGGCUGGAAGGUAGAAAGGUAGAGAUUUAGCAGUGACUGCUCUGUUUUUAGAAACUGUUGCCUGAACUUUUAGCCCAGGCAUGAGGAUUCUGACCUGGGACCCCACCCUGGGCUUAGAACUGGAUCCUGAACAUCAUAGAGUCCUUCCUGAGUGGGAUCAAGGCCUCAGGGUAGACGUAAUUGUGUUCCCUGCCCAUGCUCACCAGCCUUAGCAAACAAACACCUUGAACACAAGCUCCCCAAGAUGGGGUUCCAUAGGACUUUGUGGAAAAGAGUAAGACCAGGCCUCAAGUCUCUUGAGGUAAGUCAUUGUCCUUAGAGCCACCCUGGAUUCCAAGAUCAGCAAAACCACACAGGACAGACUACCCUCCAAAUGAACACAAUGGUCCAUGAAGGUGAGGCUGUGCCCUGGAGCCCAAGUAAUCAUCUCUGAGAACCACCUUCUCUCGUAAGCAACAAGGGCUUCUUCAGACCACCUUGUAGGACCAGAGCUGAGACACCAAGGAGCAGGAACAUACCUUGACUAGGACUGCUUAAUUACAUGUAGCUCUUACACUCUAUUAAACCUAAAGUUCCAGUCAGUACA